rnacentral:rRNA from 1 species
UACGUAGGGUGCAAGCGUUGUCCGGAAUUAUUGGGCGUAAAGAGCUCGUAGGCGGUCUGUUGCGUCGGCUGUGAAAACCCGGGGCUCAACCCCGGACUUGCAGUGGGUACGGGCAGGCUAGAGUGUGGUAGGGGAGACUGGAAUUCCCGGUGUAGCGGUGAAAUGCGCAGAUAUCGGGAGGAACACCGGUGGCGAAGGCGGUUCUCUGGGCCUUACCUGACGCUGAGGAGCGAAAGCGUGGGGAGCGAACAGG